CCUACCACUCCUAGGGACAGAGAGCUUGGUCACCAUGUGAUGCAAAAGCCUCAUUUUUACUGAAAGUAUCUUGUCUUUUAAUCUAUUUAAACUUUCAGUAAAAGUUCUCUCUAAGAUAAUAUUAAUUCAUUCUUCUUUGAUUGGGAGCUCCAUAUUUGUAUAGCCUUCACAAGGCAAGUGCAGGAUUUAUCCCAAAUACAAUGGAUCAAGAAUAAUAUUAACACCUUUCACGGU
rnacentral:lncRNA from 1 species